UACGUAGGGUGCAAGCGUUGUCCGGAAUUAUUGGGCGUAAAAAGCUCGUAGGCGGUCUGUCGCGUCGGCUGUGAAAACUCGGGGCUCAACCCCGAGCCUGCAGCCGAUACGGGCAGACUAGAGUUCGGUAGGGGAGACUGGAAUUCCUGGUGUAGCGGUGAAAUGCGCAGAGAUCGGAAGGAACACCAGUGGCGAAGGCGACUGUCUGGCCAGAUACUGACGCUGAGGCGCGAAAGCGUGGGGAGCAAACAGG
rnacentral:rRNA from 1 species